GAUGAACGCUAGCGGCAGGCCUAACACAUGCAAGUCGAGGGAGAGGUUAUCUUCGGGUAACCAAAACCGGCGCACGGGUGCGUAACGCGUAUACAAUCUGCCUUUCACAUAGGGAUAGCCCGAAGAAAUUUGGAUUAAUACCUAAUGGUAUAUAGGAGCGGCAUCGUUUUUAUAUUAAAGCUACGGUGGUGAAAGAUGAGUAUGCGUUCUAUUAGCUAGUUGGAGAAGUAACGGCUCCCCAAGGCGACGAUAGAUAGGGGUUCUGAGAGGGAUGUCCCCCACACUGGUACUGAGAUACGGACCAGACUCCUACGGGAGGCAGCAGUGAGGAAUAUUGGACAAUGGUCGGAAGACUGAUCCAGCCAUGCCGCGUGCAGGAUGAAGGUCCUAUGGAUUGUAAACUGCUUUUGUAAGGGAAGAAUAAGGAGUACGUGUACUUUGAUGACGGUACCUUACGAAUAAGCAUCGGCUAACUCCGUGCCAGCAGCCGCGGUAAUACGGAGGAUGCGAGCGUUUAUCCGGAAUCAUUGGGGUUUAAAGGGUCCGUAGGCGGGUUGAUAAGUCAGAGGUGAAAGCGCUUAGCUCAACUAAACAAACUGUCUUUUGAAACUGUCAGUCUUUAAAUGAUUGUGAAAUAGUUGGAAUGUGUAGUGGCGCCGCGAAAUGUUUAUAAUUACACAAUACA
rnacentral:rRNA from 1 species